rnacentral:misc_RNA from 1 species
GAUGAAGAACGUAGUGAAAUGCGAUAAGUAAUGUGAAUUGCAGAAUUCAGUGAAUCAUCGAAUCUUUGAACGCACAUUGCGCCCGCCAGUAUUCUGGCGGGCAUGCCUGUUCGAGCGUCAUUACAACCCUCAGGCCCCCGGGCCUGGCGUUGGGGAUCGGCGGAAGCCCCCUGCGGGCACAACGCCGUCCCCCAAAUACAGUGGCGGUCCCGCCGCAGCUUCCAUUGCGUAGUAGCUAACACCUCGCAACUGGAGAGCGGCGCGGCCACGCCGUAAAACACCCAACUUCUGAAUGUUGACCUCGAAUCAGGUAGGAAUACCCGCUGAACUUAAGCAUAUCAAAAGCGGAGGA